rnacentral:rRNA from 1 species
CGAUGACUGGGGUGAAGUCGUAACAAGGUAACCGUAGGUGAACCUGCAGAAGGAUCA